CUUUCGCUCAAAUUACAUAACAUGUACUACAUCCAGCUAUAGUCGUACACUACAAUGCAUCAGUAAAGUAAAUGGCACUAGAUCAUACAGGGAAAACGCUUGAAGUUAAACAUUGUGAUCGCAAGAGAUGAAAACCCGCAUAACUAGUGGUUCGGUUAAUACGAGGAUUGUUGGAAGAAAACAAUUCCAACUAGAAAUUCCUUCAGAUGUUCCAGCUAUAAAGGCACACACGAACGACAUAGGUAAAUUCCACGUACAAAAAAUAAUAAUAUCGUCAUAUAGAUAAUUGUACUUCCGAUGUAUGCAAUAUAUGUUCGCUGAAUCAUCACAUAUAUGUACAUGUAUAAGCUCUCGGGCGCAAUUGAUAUUGAGCCGAACAACUAGAGCAAAAGGGUAGUUAACCACUUCAUUUUUUUUGAUGACAACGACACUACCCUCACAGGUAGAGAUGCAAUAGCAAUACUGCUUGCUGCAACCACUGAAAGCCGUCCUGAUUUCGUCCCUCGAGCCAUUGCCCCAUUGCCAACACGGUGGGGAAGAAGUGUAUUGUUUUCGCUGAUGUGACACUGGAAACUCUUGACAUGGGAUAGUUUAAUUUCUUCACCAUGUCAAAUGUCCAGCUGAUUAAUACUACAGCACUACCAGAGCCAUCUCCUAGCAACUCCAGCCGAGCAGCAAGCAAUGAAGCAUCUGUGCUUACACACCCACCUUGAGAUAUACAGAAUCACCUCGAGGACGAGAAAGACCCACAAAGCAGCACCUGCAAGGGGCGUACUUGAGCGCGUGUUUUUUUGGUCUUUUUUCAGCUUUUCAUCACUAGAAAAAGCCAGCAAAUCAAAAUAAAUGUGUGGCUUUGGGAGCUGUCUUUCCUAAAGCCAAAGCAACAAAUAGGCUGAAGAAGCAGUCAACAUGGACAUAGGAGCAGGAUCAACAACUCAAGGAAAGAAGAUAAACAAUGCAUUGCCAACAACUAAAACAGCAAAAAAAGGUACAUUCAACUACCAUAUUCAUGUUACAUCAAUCUCACAUCAUACUGGUGAGAAGGGGCUAGCGAAGGAACUCUUCCCUCAGCUAUCAUCAAAGGCCUACUUGGAAGCAAACGAAGACAGACAGGCAACUAGGCGGCUACAAACAAAGCCUUGCUACAAACACAGCUUUCCUCCAGGAAAUCACAGCCGACUUUUGUUAUCGACGCUACGUUGUAUAAUAAUACCAUCCUAUGUAAUGCAACCGGUAGUGGACAAUCUAGCGAUCCUGUAAUAUUGUGUACCUACAACUCUAUGUAUAAUUUACUCCUACAAUAACUUUAUACACAAUACUGCAUUUUGUGAACUUCAACCGUAGAACAUUAAUGAUUUAUUCAGAAACCUUUUAAUA